AGAGAGAGAGAGAGAGAUGGGCAGAAGAAAUUCUGCCGCGCAUAUCUCGCGUGCACUUUCGUCAUCGGCGUGCCCCCCCUCUCGCGCGAGAUGCACGGUUUCGCUGGGAGCAAAAGCGAAGAAAACGCCCGGUAUCCGGGGAAUGCCGGCUGGGUAGGAGCGGCCGUUGCCCGCCAGGACACGCGAGGAUCCUCUCGGGAGAAAUGAA